CCUACGGGAGGCAGCAGUAGGGAAUCUUUCACAAUGGGCGAAAGCCUGAUGGAGCAACGCCGCGUGCAGGAUGAAGGCCUUCGGGUUGUAAACUGCUUUUAUAAGCGAGAAAUAUGAUGGUAACUUAUGAAUAAGGAUCGGCUAACUACGUGCCAGCAGCCGCGGUCAUACGUAGGAUCCGAGCAUUAUCCGGAGUGACUGGGUGUAAAGAGUUGCGUAGGUGGCAUAAUAAGUAGCUAGUGAAAUCUGGUGGCUCAACCAUUCAGACUAUUAGCUAAACUGUUAAGCUCGAGACCGUUAGGGGUAACUGGAAGUUCUAGUGUAGGAGUGAAAUCCGGAGAUAUUAGAAGGAACACCAAUAGCGUAGGCAGGUUGCUGGGACGGUUCUGACACUAAGGCACGAAAGCGUAGGGAGCAAACGGGAUUAGAUACCCUUGUAGUC
rnacentral:rRNA from 1 species